UGGGGAAUAUUGGACAAUGGAGGAAACUCUGAUCCAGCAAUUCUGUGUGUGUGAAGAAGGUUUUAGGACUGUAAAACACUUUUAGUAGGGAAGAAAAAAAUGACGGUACCUACAGAAGAAGCAACGGCUAUAUACGUGCCAGCAGCCGCGGUAAUACGUAUGUUGCGAGCGUUAUCCGGAAUUAUUGGGCUUAAAGGGCAUCUAGGCGGUAAGACAAGUUGAAGGUGAAAACCUGUGGCUCAACCAUAGGCUUGCCUACAAAACUGUUGAACUAGAGUACUGGAAAGGUAGGUGGAACUACACGAGUAGAGGUGAAAGUCGUAGAUAUGUGUAGGAAUGCCGAUGAUGAAGAUAACUCACUGGACAGAAACUGACGCUGAAGUGCGAAAGCUAGGGGAGCAAACAGG
rnacentral:rRNA from 1 species